rnacentral:rRNA from 1 species
GAUGAACGCUAGCUACAGGCUUAACACAUGCAAGUCGAGGGGCAGCAUCAUCAAAGCUUGCUUUGAUGGAUGGCGACCGGCGCACGGGUGAGUAACACGUAUCCAACCUGCCGACAACACUGGGAUAGCCUUUCGAAAGAAAGAUUAAUACCGGAUGGCAUAGUUUUCCCGCAUGGGAUAAUUAUUAAAGAAUUCGGUUGUCGAUGGGGAUGCGUUCCAUUAGGCAGUUGGCGGGGUAACGGCCCACCAAACCUACGAUGGAUAGGGGUUCUGAGAGGAAGGUCCCCCACAUUGGAACUGAGACACGGUCCAAACUCCUACGGGAGGCAGCAGUGAGGAAUAUUGGUCAAUGGACGAGAGUCUGAACCAGCCAAGUAGCGUGAAGGAUGACUGCCCUAUGGGUUGUAAACUUCUUUUAUACGGGAAUAAAGUUAGCCACGUGUGGUUUUUUGUAUGUACCGUAUGAAUAAGGAUCGGCUAACUCCGUG